rnacentral:misc_RNA from 1 species
GAGCAGCAUACUGUAAACUAAUGGCCAUAAACCCAUGAUAUACCAAAGUCCCACUAGCACUUCAUUCAUACGGAAUCCAUCAUCUCCUUUCAAAUUAAGGAGCUUUUUUAAGAAAUACACGUCUGUCAACGGGGUCUGGUUAGGAGCAAGGAAGAAAACAUAGUACAUGAGUCCAGACCACAAGCCAAACAGUACAAACGACGUCGUCCAAUCCCAUUGGUCUCCAUUAUUACUUCCACCACCAAGCUCAUUCUCCUCUGUAGAACCAGCUAAAUCUUUUUCCAUAGAUGGGUCUUGUUGAUUUUGAAGAUUUAACGAACUAUGACAUACAUAAAGAAGACUACCCUUUACCCCAAAUCGUGAGAUUGAGUUUUUUAAAAAUUGAGUCUUGGGUGGAUUUUUCUUGAUUUUGUCACAGUUUGCUAAUGAAAUUCUAGUAGCAACUUUCUGAUUUCUAAGAAAUAGUAAAGUAGAGAAAUUUGAAGAGAUG